GGGGUGGGUCCCCGGUUCCCACUCUGAGCUCGCGACCUGUGUCCCGGGGGCCUUGUCUCCUGGCUCUGCAGUCUGAGAACGCUCGGGGGGACUGGAGGGGACAAGCAGCUGGGGUGAUGAGACUUGGUCUGGCAUGAAUUUCAGUAGGAACCAAGAAUGACGGGAUUCUUUUAGAGGAGAAAUAAGGAAACGGCUCUCUGGUCCCUCCCUUCCAGGUGAAGAAAGGGGCCGCAGGCAACAGGCUUGAGCAAUGAAAACUGGAGCAAGGCCAAAGGACCCCAGCGACUGCUCAGCUGCCGCAAAGGGCUCCUUAAGUGACUCACCUUGAAAUGGCCACAGGCCCUAACUGACCAACGGGCUACUUACUACCAGGCACAGUGACCAACAAAGGGACAAUCCCAUGGGUUCCCCUGCCUUCUCACUCCACGCCACACGACAGCCCCGCGCCGCCUCCUGGCAGCCGCCUCUCCUCUGCUGACCUGCCCACUGCUCCCCGGCAAUGUAUUCAAAAAGCUUCAAUCUCCUCUGACCUGGCUUGGGUAAAUUCUUUCACCACCCGUGCCGAUCAGAAUGCCCUAUACCUGCCACACUGGCAAAUAUAUAUAGGAUUUAUUGAGAGUCCCUACACCUGCCAGUCAGGGUUUGCCCAGGUUCUCCACUAAGGUGUCCCAGGGACCUGGGGUCAACAGGUGUAGCCUGGGGCAGCCCGGGGGGCUCAUGGGUGGCCUGGGUGGCUCAGCGGUUUAGCGUCGCCUUCAGCCUGGGGCAUGAUCCUGGAGACCCG